rnacentral:misc_RNA from 1 species
CAGUAGUCACCCGGGGCGCCGCAAGGCCUCCCGGGUAACCUACCACCCUUUGUUUAUUACACUUUGUUGCUUUGGCAGGCCUGCCCUCGGGCUGCUGGCUCCGGCUGGUACGCGCCCGCCAGAGGACCCCAAACUCUGAAUGUUAGUGUCGUCUGAGUACUAUACAAUAGUUA